GGGUGGGGCCGCUGAGGCACCUUCCUGUUCUGCCCCUGUUUUUCCUCAGUGAUCCCUUCUCAGGCACCCAGGGCCAUGAUUUCUGGCUCCCCACCGCCGCUGCAAAGAAGACCCAGAAGGUAGGGAAGCAGAGUCAACACACAGCGUGAAGGAGCCAGGCUCGAGCAGUUCCUGGCUUGGGGACACUUGAAGGCCUCCUCUUCCAGAAGCUGCGGAGAGACCUGUCCAGUGGUGGCAAACGCGUCAGGACCUUGAAACACCGAGCAAGACCAUGAGAAGAAGUCCAAAGCUCAGUAUAUCUGACAAGUGCUGUCAUAAGAUAAGCCACCUGACCUGUGGAGGGGAGGUUUAUGCUCAAAGGUGGGACAGAAAUACAGCUCCCCGACACUUCCUGCAGACACGAGGGCCACCCAGAGAGAAAGAACAAAUCCUGGGAUGUCCUUCAGUGACAUCAGGCCUGACACAGACCCACCCCAUCUGCCCCAUCCUCAGUCCAGAUCCUGGGACAGGGCACCAGGAGGGAGGGCGAGGCCAUUUGAAGACGCUUGGUGUUAGGGCAGCAACACGGAGGGAAGUAGGGGGCUUUCCAGAAAAUAUUUCCUGAUUGGCUUCCGCCCAGCAGCUCCAGCCUCAAUCUCAUCCCUUUCCUUCCACACGGGAACACACACACUCACCCCUGCACACGUGUGUGUGCACACACACGCUCACACACACCGUAAGGGUCGGCCUACAGUCUCCUGCAGAAGCUAACUGCAUGAACUCCUGGAGACAUUAAGGGAGAAGGUGUGAGGAGCCCACUGUGCCCACCCUCUGCUUCCUAAGUGGGAGGGGGCUUCAGAGCUCGGGCCCCCACAAAGGUCAAUGUGGGGUGUGGCGCCAGUCUGCAGCAUGCAGGCCCGGAGGGUCCCCCUCAGCUCAGGGUGGGUGUCCCAUGGCUGAGUGGCAGUGGCCUCGGUGCCCCUAUCAGCAGUGACAGGGACAGGGCAGGUCCUCUCUCCCCCUCUGAAGACCCCUGUGCCUCUGCCUCAGCAUCCCCUGCUCUGCUGCUGCCAGGGAGGGCUGGGGACUGGGACCCCCACAGGCCAGCUGCCAAAGCUCUUCAGAUCCUUUCUUCUCUCUCUCCACUGCACGCUCAGGGCACGGCUCAUCUCCUCUGCCUCUGUAUUUGGAUAAUUCUCAGCCUGGAAGCUGACAAGUGUCUGUGCCUUGUGCCAAAGGCCUAGAAACAUUACUCAGAAAGUCAGAGGACCAGCACCUCUCAAUUCGGAAACGCAAUUCCCAAUGCUCAAGUUAAAUGAAAGGGGAAAUUCUACUAACUUUGUUGAGGGGGUAGGGUGGGGUGGGGAGCUUCUCUAACUUCAGUAAUCUGUGAACCUAUUAUCCUGACCCUUAUUUUAGAGCAUGAUACCACUUAAAAAUGCAUGGACAUAAAACUAGGUCUAAGCCUUUUAUUUUUACAGCUUUAUAUAACUAUAAUCCUAUUACAUAUGUCUAGGCCCCAAUUCCUUAUUAGAAACUCUCGGGGCCAAAUGUGUUUCAGGGUUGAGCAUUUUUCAGAUUUUAGAAGUUACUAAACUGCAUAUGAC